GCCAUGGCAUAUGGAGGUUCCCAGGCUAGGGGUCCAAUUGGAGCUGUAACUGCCCCUACGCCAGAGCCACAGCAACGCGGGAUCCGAGCUACAUCUGCAACCUACACCACAGCUCAUGGCAACACUGGAUCCUUAACCCACUGAGCAAGGCCAGGGAUCGAACCCACAACCUCAUGGUUCCUAGUUGGAUUCGCUAACCACUGAGCAACGAUGGGAACUCCUUCCUUUUACUUUUUUAUGAUAAGGUUUACAAUACAAAGAUUUUUAAUUUUGUGAAGUUCGAUGUAUCUGUUUUCCUUUUUUGUCACUUAUAAUUUUGGUGUCAUAUCUAAGAUUAUGGUUAGUAAACAACUUAUACCAGUCACUGGUAUAAGCCCUGGGGUACCUCUAUAAUCAAAAAAGAAAUGGUUUCUGUUUUCAUUUAGGUUAAGCUUAGUAGAAGAGCCAGGAAUUUAUUCAAAUUAAAAGACAAGUAUUCUUCUUUUUUUGUCUUUUCUAGGGCUGCACCAGUGGCAUAUGGAAGUUCCCAGGCUAGGGGGUCUAAUCGGAGCUGUAGUUGCCGGCCUACGCCAGAGCCACAGCAACGCCAGCUCACAGCAACAGUGGAUCCUUAACCCACUGAGCAAAGCCAGGGAUCGAACUUGAAACCUCAUGGUUCCUAGUCGAAUUCAUUAACCACCGAGCCACGACAGGAACUCCCCCAAGACCUUUAAGUCUUAAAAGAGAAAAAGACAAUGGAGGAAGCUCUCUAUGCAGAAAGGACCCAAGGAUCUUAGUUGCUUAGAGGAAUUGAUUAUGGAGAGUGUUGAGUUGCUGAGAGAGUUGGGCUAAGAAGAUCAUCAAAUAAGACUAUAGAAGUAAGCAGGGAUAAUAGGAUGCAGUCUUGUAGAUCAUGUUAAGAACUUUAAUAUUUUCCCUAAAAGUGAUUGAGAAUGAUUAGAGGAUUAAUCGUGAUGGCUGCAGUACAGAUAAGAGAUAAUGAAGAAAAUAAGUAGCAGUCAGGUGACCAGUUAGAUAGAAAAUGCAAUUACUUAGUCAAGAGAUGACAGCAGCAUGGAAUACAGUUAUAGCAGUAGAGGCAAAGAGAAUUAAAGAAAUUAGAAAUUUACUUAGAAAAAUGAAUCAGGCUUGGCCUUGGAUAGCAUAUGUGAGAGACAAAUGACUGAUUGCUCCCUUUGUCCUGGAAAGAAUAAGAUGUCCUCUGAGUCCUGAGUCUUCCAGGUAGCUUAUCUGGUUCCCAAAUAUUUAAAACACAGUAAAACUGAGUACCUGAACUCCUUGCUUUGUUUUGCUUCCAGACCUAAUCUCAUUAACUGCUGACUUCUGGUAUUUUUUCACCUAUCUGCAGACUCUAUUUUACUCUUCAGACACAAUACUUGAUACAGGCUCCCAAGUAUUAAUACUACUUCCACUUCUUUGUUAGGUUCUGUGCAUUUAACUCUGUAGAUUAUUGUCCUUCUGAUGAUCAUGGGUACAACCUCUCCAAUCAAGUUCCAUCUUCCAGAACCUUGUAAGGUACUAGAUUAUGUGGCUGACGCUCUUACAGGCAGGACUCUAAAAUGUAGAAUAGAUGAGGGGCAUUUUUCACUCUGGCCGCUGAAAAGCAAUUUCAAAUAGAGAUCAGCAAGGCCUAUAAUUGACAAAUACUUUCUAGAACGGAGAUGCUCCCACAGUAGGAAUAUCCUCCAAGUUCAUAAUACCUCCUCACCCUCCAUUCUUCUAAUCAGACCAUCCAUUCAGCACACCCUCUGCAGAAUGCAAUGAGACACUUCAUGUCUACUUCAGAUAUGAAAAUUGAUGAAUUUCUUCGUAAAUGUUGAAGCUUUAGGGCACAUGAUAUAUAAUUACCCUCUACUAUAAUUUCCUAUAUUACAGCUCUGAAGUUUGCAAUGCAUAUCCCUAUAAUUACUUCUAUAUGUAAUUACAUUUACAUAAUACUUACAUGAUUUUAUUUACAUAAUAGCUAAGGUGAUGAUUCAUUUUUCAAAAACUUUUAAGUUGCCCCUAAACAGGACACAAUGAAGCUAGAUUUAUUUCUACAUUAAAUGCUAAAGAAAAUAAUUUAUGUAUAAUAUAAAUUAUAUAUGCAUUAUAUAUAAAAACAUAUAUGUAUAUGCAUAUUAGCUUGUCAUAAUUAGGGGUAAAUAUAUGAAAAUUUGGGGUUUGAUAUUGAAAAAGAUGUAAGUAG
rnacentral:lncRNA from 1 species